AGAGUUUGAUCCUGGCUCAGGACGAACGCUGGCGGCGUGCCUAAUACAUGCAAGUAGAACGCUGAAGAGAGGAGCUUGCUCUUCUUGGAUGAGUUGCGAACGGGUGGGUAACGCGUAGGUAACCUGCCUUGUAGCGGGGGAUAACUAUUGGAAACGAUAGCUAAUACCGCAUAACAAUGGAUGACACAUGUCAUUUAUUUGAAAGGGGCAAUUGUUCCACUACAAGAUGGACCUGCGUUGUAUUAGCUAGUAGGUGAGGUAAUGGCUCACCUAGGCGACGAUACAUAGCCGACCUGAGAGGGUGAUCGGCCACACUGGGACUGAGACACGGCCCAGACUCCUACGGGAGGCAGCAGUAGGGAAUCUUCGGCAAUGGGGGCAACCCUGACCGAGCAACGCCGCGUGAGUGAAGAGGGUUUUCGGAUCGUAAAGCUCUGUUGUAAGUCAAGAACGGGUGUGAGAGUGGAAAGUUCACACUGUGACGGUAGCUUACCAGAAAGGGACGGCUAACUACGUGCCAGCAGCCGCGGUAAUACGUAGGUCCCGAGCGUUGUCCGGAUUUAUUGGGCGUAAAGCGAGCGCAGGCGGUUUGAUAAGUCUGAAGUUAAAGGCUGUGGCUCAACCAUAGUUCGCUUUGGAAACUGUCAAACUUGAGUGCAGAAGGGGAGAGUGGAAUUCCAUGUGUAGCGGUGAAAUGCGUAGAUAUAUGGAGGAACACCGGUGGCGAAAGCGGCUCUCUGGUCUGUAACUGACGCUGAGGCUCGAAAGCGUGGGGAGCGAACAGGAUUAGAUACCCUGGUAGUCCACGCCGUAAACGAUGAGUGCUAGGUGUUGGAUCCUUUCCGGGAUUCAGUGCCGCAGCUAACGCAUUAAGCACUCCGCCUGGGGAGUACGACCGCAAGGUUGAAACUCAAAGGAAUUGACGGGGGCCCGCACAAGCGGUGGAGCAUGUGGUUUAAUUCGAAGCAACGCGAAGAACCUUACCAGGUCUUGACAUCCCGAUGCUAUUUCUAGAGAUAGAAAGUUACUUCGGUACAUCGGUGACAGGUGGUGCAUGGUUGUCGUCAGCUCGUGUCGUGAGAUGUUGGGUUAAGUCCCGCAACGAGCGCAACCCCUAUUGUUAGUUGCCAUCAUUCAGUUGGGCACUCUAGCGAGACUGCCGGUAAUAAACCGGAGGAAGGUGGGGAUGACGUCAAAUCAUCAUGCCCCUUAUGACCUGGGCUACACACGUGCUACAAUGGUUGGUACAACGAGUUGCGAGUCGGUGACGGCGAGCUAAUCUCUUAAAGCCAAUCUCAGUUCGGAUUGUAGGCUGCAACUCGCCUACAUGAAGUCGGAAUCGCUAGUAAUCGCGAAUCAGCACGCCGCGGUGAAUACGUUCCCGGGCCUUGUACACACCGCCCGUCACACCACGAGAGUUUGUAACACCCGAAGUCGGUGAGGUAACCUUUUGGAGCCAGCCGCCUAAGGUGGGACAGAUGAUUGGGGUGAAGUCGUAACAAGGUA
rnacentral:rRNA from 1 species